UUGGGCUUUACGCUUGCAACCCUUACACUGGGCCGAUAUGACGCGGCUUGCUCUAACCCUAAAAUGGCGAUCGUCGAAUAUGCACAUCUCUCCCUUCUUCUGUGCCGGCGACGAGUGACGAUUGAUCUGCUUAACCAUGUAUGAAACUGGCAGAGUUAUAGUUCGUCUUAAUUUCUCUUCAUUCAAUAGCCCAUUCCGCAAUCUUGAAUGAGGCGUUCUUCACUCUGAGACGGUGUCAGAUCCGUAUAAAUAUAAUUUUCUUCUCCGACUUGAAGACCGGUGGUUGCUCAUCCGUCGUCGAUGCUAGACUGCUACGUUUCUGGGAGGCGAGAAAUGUCAAGCGUGGUGGUGAGAUCAUUCAACUAUGAUGCAAGCCACCAUCAAUGCUCAUCGGCUUUCAAAAUUCUGGGAGAGGCUUGGCGUCAGAUAAGUAUAUUCCCUCUCCAGUUUUGACGUGGCCCGAUGUGCUCAGAACUUCAGGCUUACCGACUCACCUCUGUUGAUUCGGUUCAAUGAUAAUUCAGAAUUUGAUGAGAUAACCAAACCGAUCUCACCGUUGUCUAAAGAAGGCUUCCGGUUCCGUAACCAAGCCGAGCUGGUUGGAUUAGCUAACACUAACACACAGCUUCCAGACAUUGUAGGUGAGAUAACUGUUGUUAAGAGUAUAGUGAGUGAACUUCCAGAGGAUAAGAAUUGUGUCAUGGCAACUAUCAAGAUGGAAAAGUUGUUGCGUUGCACAAAAACCUUGAAGACAUGCAUGUUGAUCCAAAGGUGAUUGUUGCCACAAACAUAAACCCAAAGAUGGUCGGAGGCCGUUUGUUCCUCAACGCAACGUCUGAGACGCAUAUAUAUUUUGAUAGGGAAACAAGUGCAGGGGAAACUUGCUUCUACAAGUAAGCUUAACCGUAAUUGAUUGUGUACGCGUACGUUGACGAAAUUAUGAUGAUGGCCAUCUUAAAUUAUCGUACAAGUUGGUGGCUAGGGACACUGGCCUACUAUCUGUUGCACCACUACUAAGGGCAUAUGCAGAGGUUGAGAAUGUGACAAUGGCUGAGCUCAAAUUUUUUAUCAUCAUGGCUUCGUCACAAGAAAUUGACUUUUUAUGCCCUGGGCGAGUCUCACGCGUUGACACUUACAAGGGAUGGUGUUAUGUUGCAUGCUCUAAGUACAGUAGUAAGUUGCAUCGUUCCGCCUCUGCAUUCGAAUGUGUGUCGUGCAGUAAUUCUCAUGCUGUCGGAGCGUUGCGCUAUCGUGUUGAGUUAGUUGUGGCUGAUGAUACUGGUGAAGGGACGUUCGUUUGUUUCGAUGGUGUGAUGGCGUAGCUGCACAAUCUCAGGGCAAGUGAGACCGUUCAGAUGUUGUCUGAAGAAGGAGUGCAGUCCCCGACCUUGGCGAUAAUGUAAGUAAAAUGUGUAUUGUACCGUCUCACAAUUAGCAUGUCCAUGUAUGUUUAACUUAUAGGAAUGUAUCUGGGGUGAUGACGAUGAUGAUGACGACACGCCUGAUGGCAAUCCAGAUCGUGGAAAUCUUGCAUCCAUGGCAGUUAUGGGGGAUCGAAGAGUGCUGGAAAGAAGCCGGCUGUGAAUGCGCAUAAGAUGGCUGACACGUCUUCUAAUGUGGUCAAGAAGGCGCGUGUUGGUUGAGUUAAAGUAUCAAUGAUACUGCUAAUCUAUGUUUUGGUCAUUUACUUUUUAUUUCACCUUUGUGGAUGUUCUGAGUUGGUUUCAGACAUCGUUGUUAGUUUGAAGUAUUUUGAUGUUAACAAUUUUCGUAUUAUGCGUUUUUGUCCGUCAGUCCAUUUUCGUACUUAAAAAGAUUUUUAUUAUAUGAUUUCGUGAUUUCUGUCUA